rnacentral:lncRNA from 1 species
CAAUGGUAGCUGUAAUAUUUUUAAAUUAUUGAAAAUAUGGAUGGUUUUAUUUUAUUCAGUGUUUCUGUGCAGCGUUGUGUGUACUUAUUUGCCUUUGCUUGACCUGGAUGCUUAAUGUUUACUCAUCAACUUUUCAACCAGGGUCUGCUUUUUGAGGGUUGAAUUACUUUGCUGAAAUCUCAGAUGCAACAUAGGAUAGAUACAUAGGGUAUCACCAGAUCCUAUGGGUAAACUUUUAUUUUAAAGGUCAAGGUGAACAUAUGUGAGAGACACAUGCAUUUUAUUGUUAAAUAUCCAGGUUUAUACAUGCUGGCACUUCAAGAGUUAACCGUAGUUAACUAAGGAAGAGAUUUCAGAAAUGAAGAAACUGGAAUCUCACUCUGCAUCUCCUGGGAAGCUUCUGUCAGCUGUUAAUGAGAGCAAAAUGAACUUGAUGGCACAAUGAAGAUGGCAGAAGACUAAAUGGAGAAGAAGCAUGUGGAUUCUCAGAAAAAUGUUUCUACUGAUCUUCAUACCCAAAUUUGAAGGUAAUCAUAGAGAAAUCUCUAGGAAGAAUAAAGUACCAUAAAACCCAAAGAGAAAUCGGAUUACCAUUGCUUAAAAAGCUUGAUAGACUUGAGAAUCUGGUCUAUAGAGCAUCCCAAGUGUUACCCUCCACUCCAUCCAAGGCCAAGGACUCUCGCUUCUCUGAAAUUCUCACAGUUAAAGAUCUGUACCUUCACUCCAACACUGCCACUCUGUGA